GACAGAGGUGCCGAGCGUUAGGCGGAAUCACUGGGCUUAAAGCGUGUGUAGGCGGAUUCCUAAGUACCUUGUGAAAUCCCACGGCUUAACCGUGGAACUGCUUGGUAUACUGGGUGUCUUGAGCCAACUAGAGGCAGUCGGAACAAACGGUGGAGCGGUGAAAUGCGUAGAUAUCGAGAGGAACACCUGCGGCGAAGGCGGGUUGCUGGGCUGACACUGACGCUGAAGCGCGAAAGUUAGGGGAGCGAACGGG
rnacentral:rRNA from 1 species